GGUUACUGAGAGUUGAAGAAGAGUUGCAGAAAAUUUGAUAGAUCUACUCUUACUGUUGGACAGUUACUGAGAGAGAAGCAAGGAGGCAGAGGUAAAUUCAGCUCUUACUGUUGGACAGUUAGUGAGAGGGAAGCAGGGAGGAAGAGGUGAAUAGAGCUCUUAUUGUUGAACAUUUACUGAGAGAGAGAGCAAGGAGGCAGAGGUGAAUAGAGCUCUUACUCUUGGACAGUUAUUUAGAGAGAAGCAAGGAGGCAGAGGUAAAUAGAGU